rnacentral:misc_RNA from 1 species
CCUUUUCACUCUUCUCUGUGUGUAUAGGGAGUGGGAGUCUCUGCCUAGGGACAGAAGAAAUAAAUGGUGUUGGGAAAAUAGCAUUAAUGCCAAAACCAUGCGGAGAUGCCAAGAAAGUGUGAAGGAACUGGAAAUUUGCCUUGAAAAGGAGCUUCAUGUUACUAUUCCAACAGACUGGCAUUGGAAUCCUCAUAAGUCUAGUGAGCAUGAUAAAAAUUUGAAACAGGCCAUACUCUCUGCACUUGCAGAAAAUGUAGCCAUGUACUCAGGUUGUGAUAAACUUGGUUAUCAAGUGGCAUUGACUGGAAAGCAUGUUCAGCUACAUCCAUCAUGUUCAUUGCUAAUAUUUGGUGAUAAGCCAAGUUGGGUUUUUUUUAUUGACUAAAUGUGGAUAGUAGUUUUUGGUCUGUGUUACUGCUUUUGACUUCGAAUCAUUGUGUAUGAUUUUUCCUCCUCCC